rnacentral:rRNA from 1 species
UUGGAAGUAAAAGUGGUAACAAGGUUUCCGUAGGUUAAGUUCAGCCUACCAAAGCAGCCUGUAAAAUGCUAGUUGGCCACCGUGCCGGCGACACGCCCACUGUGCGGAAAAGCCCUGCUUCAGGGAAACCCGCAGCCCCUACCCGGGGUUCAGAGACUCAAUAGGCGUGGGUCUGGCAGCAUCUGCCAGGCUUGAGAUAGAGCCCGUCCCCGCUGGCCACGGCGGGGAGCAAACGGAACCUGCGGAAGGAUCAUUA